UUUUUUUUGUGCACCAAAUUUUUUUCAUUUAAAUUAGAAAGAUACAAGAGGAUAGAGCAUAUUCAGACACCUUUGAAUAGCAAGGUUGGAAAUUAAAGCACAUAAGCCAACAAAAACCAAACAUAGAGACACAAGCUUAAUAAAGCUUGAUAGAGAACCAGGAUAAAUGUUGAAGCAAACUAACACGAGGAAACCCAUGAGAGAAAACGCAUUCCACAAAUAAACAUCAACUGGUAAAGAGAUAGUCACCAUACAAUGUGACGUUAGGACGAACUUCGAGCCAU
rnacentral:lncRNA from 1 species